rnacentral:rRNA from 1 species
AGCUGAACACAUAGGCUGGUGAGACGACUACCCGGUGAACUGAAACAUCUUAGUAACCGGAGGAAAAGAAAAAAAUAAUGAUCUCUAAUCAAGAACUAGCUGUUAGGUAGAUAGUGCUUGAUUAGAGAUUUUGAUUCCCCGAGUAGUGGCGAGCGAACGGGGAUGAGCCUAAACCUAGUUAACUGCGUUGGCGGAAGCUGCUUUCGGGUAGCGGAAGUCAACUGAAGGGGCUAAGCCCAGAUGUUAACUGGGGGUUGUAAGAUUGGCAUACUGACUACUUAGUUUGGUCAGGCCAAGUCAUAAAAGUUUGGAGUUAGCUGAAGGAGCUGGAAAGCUCGGCCAAAGACGGUGAUAGCCCGGUAAGCGAAAAUUUCAGACUCUUGGUGAUGCUGAUUCUUAAGUACUGCGGAACUCGUGAAAUUCCGUAGGAAGCUGGGUCGACUAUGACCCAAGGCUAAAUACUCUUUGAGAUCGAUAGUGAACUAGUACCGUGAGGGAAAGGUGAAAAGCAUCCCGGUUAGGGAGAUGAAAUAGUACCUGAAACCGUAGACUUACAAGGAGUCGGAGCCUGAUGCCGCAAGGUAUUGGGUGACGGCGUGCCUAUUGAAGAAUGAGCCAACGAGUUUGUUGUAUGUGGCUUGGUUAAUCUCGCGAAGUGAGAGAAGCCAAAGUGAAAGCGAGGGUUAAUAGCCCGUUGGCCGCAAGGCCGGUCGCAUGCACAAGACCCGAAGCCGGGUGAUCUAUCCAUGGUCAGGUUGAAUCUGGGUGAAAGCUCAGAAGAGGACCGAACCGGUUGGUCGUGCAACACCAUCGGAUGAACUGUGGAUAGCGGAGAAAUUCCAAUCGAACUCGGCAAUAGCUGGUUCUCCUCGAAAUAGUUUUAGGACUAGCCUCAAGCGCUGACUAUGGGGGGUAGAGCACUGAAUGAGGGUGGGCCGCAAGGUACCAUCUUUAAACAAACUCCGAAUACCCAUAGGUGUAGCUUGGGAGUCAGACUGCGGGGGCUAAGCUUCGCUAGUCAAAAGGGAAACAGCCCAGACCGCUAUCUAAGGUCCCUAAAUAUAAGCUAAGUGUAAAAGGUAGUGUCGCGACUACGACAACCAGGAUGUUGGCUUAGAAGCAGCCAUCAUUUAAAGAAAGCGUAAUAGCUCACUGGUCAAGUUGUUUCGCGCCGAAAAUUUAUCGGGGCUAAGCUUAUUACCGAAGAUGCGGGUUGUCCAUGUAAAUGGACAGCGGUAGAGGAGCGUUCCAAUUCCGUUGAAGUCGCAACGUGAGUUGUGGUGGAGGAUUUGGAAGUGAAAAUGUUGGCAUAAGUAGCAAAAAGGCAAGUGAAAACCUUGCCCACCGAAAAUCUAAGGGUUCCUGGGCAACGAAACUCGACCCAGGGUUAGUCGAUCCUAAGGUGAGGCCAUUGUAGUGGUGGCGUAGCCGAUGGAAGAGCUGGUUAAUAUUCCAGCACUACUAUAAUUUUCCGAUGGGGGGACGCGAUGACAAAGUUUAAGCGUACUAUGGUUUGUACGUUGUUGGCUUGGCCGUGUCGUCUAGGCAAAUCCGGGCGGCAUUAGCGGCUGAGUUGACUGCAGGCAAAGCUUUCGGGCGGCGCCAAUUUAAGCGGAGUCAGCGCCAAGAAAAUCCUCUAGGGCUAAGAUUAUAGUAAUCGUACUGCAAACCGACACAGGUAGAUGAGGCGAGGAGCCUAAGGUGUACGAGAGAACCUUCGUUAAGGAACUCGGCAAAUCAGCGGUCGUAAGUUCGCAAUAAGACCUCCCCGCGCGAGCGGGGCGCAGCUAAAGACAGCCAAGUGACUGUUUACCAAAAACACAGCUCUCUGCUAAAUCGUAAGAUGAUGUAUAGAGGGUGAUGCCUGGCCAGUGUCCGAACGUUAAGGGGAGAGGUUAGCCGUAAGGCAAAGCCUUGAACUGAAGCGCGGAUGAACGCCGGCCGUAACUAUAACGGUCCUAAGGUAGCGAAAUUCCUUGUCGGGUAAAUUCCGACCUGCACGAAUGGCAUAACAACUUGGUUACUGUCUCGACGAAGGACUCGGCGAAAUUGCAAGACGAGUAAAGAUGCUCGUUAAUCAUAGUUGGACGAAAAGACCCCAUGAAGCUUUACUAUAGCUUGAUAUUGGUUUAGGGCUAUACAUGUUCAGGAUAGGUGGGAGCCUUCGGGCGCCGGUGAGAUACCACCCUUGUAUAGUUUUAAACCUAACCUUAGACCAUGAAUCUGGCCAAGGGACAGUGUCUGGUGGGUAGUUUGUCUGGGGCGGAUGCCUCCCAAAAGGUAACGGAGGCGUUUACCAAGGUUGGCUAUCCCGGGAUGGAAAUCCGGGAGAUAGUGUAAAGGCACAAGCCAGCUUUACUGCGAGACCUGCAAGUCAAGCAGUCGCGAAAGCGGAACUUAGUGAUCCGACCAUUCAAUAUAGGAUGGUGGAAGCUCAACGGAUAAAAGCUACUCUGGGGAUAACAGGCUAGUCACGCCCAAGCGUCCACAGCGACGGCGUGGUUCGGCACCUCGAUGUCGGCUCGUCGCAUCCUGGGGGUGGAGAAGCUCCCAAGGGUUGGGCUGUUCGCCCAUUAAAGCGGCACGCGAGCUGGGUUCAGACCGUCGUAAGACAGGUCGGUCUCCUAUCCACUAUGAUCGCGGAAACUUGAGAAGGCGCUUCCCUAGUACGAGAGGACCGGGAAGCACGAAGCUCUGGUGUACCAGCUGUCCUACCAAGGGCAUCGCUGGGUAGCUAUCUUCGGUUAGGAUAAGCGCUGAAAGCAUAUAAGUGCGAAGCCGUCUUCAAGAUUAGGUUUCAUAGACUCCCGGGAGACUACCGGGUUGAUAGGUUCUAGGUGUAAGCGCAGUAAUGCGUUGAGCCGAGGAAUACUAAUAAGUCAUUUGAUUUUCCCA